GACGAACGCUGGCGGCGUGCUUAACACAUGCAAGUCGAACGGUGAAGCUCCAGCUUGCUGGAGUGGAUCAGUGGCGAACGGGUGAGUAACACGUGAGCAACCUGCCCCUGACUCUGGAAUAAGCGCUGGAAACGGCGUCUAAUACUGGAUACGAGAAGGGUCCGCAUGGGCACUUUCUGGAAGGUUUUUCGGUUGGGGAUGGGCUCGCGGCCUAUCAGCUUGUUGGUGAGGUAAUGGCUCACCAAGGCGACGACGGGUAGCCGGCCUGAGGGGGCGACCGGCCACACUGGGACUGAGACACGGCCCAGACUCCUACGGGAGGCAGCAGUGGGGAAUAUUGCACAAUGGGCGAAAGCCUGAUGCAGCGACGCCGCGUGAGGGAUGACGGCCUUCGGGUUGUAAACCUCUUUCAGCAGGGAAGAAGCGAAAGUGACGGUACCUGCAGAAGAAGCACCGGCUAACUACGUG
rnacentral:rRNA from 1 species